rnacentral:rRNA from 1 species
GACGGAGGGGGCAAGCGUUGUCCGGACUCACUGGGCGUAAAGGGUGCGUAGGCGGUUUGGUGCGUUCGCGCUGAAAUCACACGGCUUAACCGUGUGGCGCGUGCGAAUACGACCAGGCUUGAGGCAAGGAGAGGAUGGGGGAACUCCUGGUGUAGUGGUGAAAUGCGUAGAUAUUCGCAAGAACACCAGUGGCGAAGGCGGUUCACUGGCCCGGUACUGACGCUGAGGUGCGAAAGCGUGGGGAGCAAACAGG